AGAGUUUGAUCCUGGCUCAGGAUGAACGCUAGCUACAGGCUUAACACAUGCAAGUCGAGGGGCAGCAUGAACUUAGCUUGCUAAGUUUGAUGGCGACCGGCGCACGGGUGAGUAACACGUAUCCAACCUUCCGUUUACUCAGGGAUAGCCUUUCGAAAGAAAGAUUAAUAACGGAUAGUAUGGUGAGAUUGCAUGAUAGCACCAUUAAAGAUUUAUUGGUAAACGAUGGGGAUGCGUUCCAUUAGG
rnacentral:rRNA from 1 species